CGUUUUACUUUAUGUGUCACUAAGAGUUUAUGGUCUUCUAAUGAGAAUUUAAAUUUAAAUGUGAUUAAAAAAAAAAAAAAAGUAUUUAUUAGCGAUAAAGAAAUUCUAGACGGUUAUUUCAAAAGAUUGAGGUUGUUGAAGCGUUGUUUAAUAAAGUAAAAGAUUAAAUGUACCAAAUACAUCAAAAACCCCCUCCAUCUUGUAUUAAGGAAAACAAUUUUGGAACCCAUCGUUCAAUAAAGCUUCUCAUACUAGGAAAAGAUGGUGUUGGUAAAUCAGCUAUUGUUGUGCGUUACCUUACGAGAAGAUUUAUUGGCGAGUACGAUCCGCUUUUAGGUAUGCUUGUAACAAACAUUGU
rnacentral:lncRNA from 1 species